rnacentral:rRNA from 1 species
UACGUAGGGUGCAAGCGUUGUCCGGAAUUAUUGGGCGUAAAGAGCUCGUAGGCGGUCUGUCGCGUCGGCUGUGAAAACUCGGGGCUCAACCCCGAGCCUGCAGUCGAUACGGGCAGACUAGAGUGCUGUAGGGGAGACUGGAAUUCCUGGUGUAGCGGUGGAAUGCGCAGAUAUCAGGAGGAACACCGGUGGCGAAGGCGGGUCUCUGGGCCGAUACUGACGCUGGAGGAAGCGAAAGGCGUGGGGAGCGAACAGG